rnacentral:rRNA from 1 species
AUGGACUCGCCGCAGAUCCCCGACGAUCUUUUCCCGGAGAUCUUCCUCCGCGUCCCCGACCCAGCCGACCUCGUCCGAAUCUCCGCCGCCUGCGCCUCCUUCCGCAGCCUCGUCGCCUGCCGCUCCUUCCUCCGCCGCUACCGCAAGCGCCACGCCCAGCCCCUCGUCGGCUUCUUCGAUAAUCAGCGAGUCUUCCACCCCGCCGAACCUCCUUACCCCUCCGCUUCGGCCGCCAAAGCCGUCGCCCUCGCCGCCGACUUCUCCUUCCCCUUCCUCCGCGCCCCAGCCAGCGCCUGGCACAUUUUCCAGAUCCGCGACGGUCGUGUCCUCCUCGGCCGGGACCCCUACGACUUCGAGGAGCUGGUGGUGUGCGACCCCUUGCACCGGCGCCACCUCCUGCUGCCCCGAAUCCCUGCACUCGACGAGUGGCUUCCUUCGGCCACGACCGGCGGGAUAGGAUGGCAGAUCUUCCUCCUCGGCGGCGGCGACGACGACGACGAGGAGGCUGCGGAAGAGACGUCUUUCAGAGUGAUAUGGAGGGCAGAGCGUGAAGAUGAUGGUAAUCAGGUCGCCUUCGUCUUCUCUUCCAGCACGGGACAAUGGCGAGCUGCUCCGCCGUUGUCAGGGUUGGCCUCCUUCUCCUGGCGCCAAUAUGUGCAUGGCUGCUUGUACGGGAUGACAGAUUGCCGGGAGAAGCUACGUGUGCUCGACACCCGGACAAUGGAGUUCUCACUCCUCGACCUCCCGCUGGAAGCCAGAGGUUAUGCUUAUGUGUAUGUAGACGUUGUGGAGGCAGGGGAGGGCAUCACUGGGUUGUUUGUGCGACCAAGGGGGACACCUGAAAUCAGAUAUUUCACUAGGCGAAACAGUGGUCUGAGUUCCAGCCAGUGGCAGUUGGAGAAGAUAGUCUCACUGGGUUCUUCUCAAUGGCAGUGGGCGGGUUCACCAAGGCCAAACUUGUUCCUGCGUCACUGCGGAAGCCCAUCGCUUGAUGGUGGCCUUUUCUCACUGGAUAUCAAGACAUUACAGCUUGAGAGGGUGCUUGGAUCAGAGUCUAGCAUGCUUUACCCGUGGCCAUAUACCAACUUUCCACCAUUUCUGUCCACACCAACAGUAUCAAGUGAUACUCAGGAAGGUGAUGAGAAGGAGAUGCCGGAACAAGGUGCUGAGAUGCUGCAAGAUGACGAGCACACUGCUGAUGACGCGAAUGCUGGAGGUCAGGUCGGUGUAUCGAGGGCUCAAGAUUGCGCUGAUUGA